rnacentral:piRNA from 1 species
UAAGAAGGACACAUGCUCGACUAUG